CAACAAUCUCCCACUUGCACUAAAGUCAAUCACUAGUGUAUCUUAUACAUCUUGUUGAGAGAGCUUAUGCUCGUAGGUUAACUUGGUUAUGCAUUAAUCCCUUUUAUCAUUUAAAAGGUAUUUACUUAUUAAAUGUUUCCAAAACAUUUGAUGAUGUCUCUUUCUUGUGUUCGAAUACUUUGAUGAGACCUUGAUUCUAUGGCUUGAGCUAUCGCCCCAUUAUGUCGUAGUAUCGUACUAACGACCUUAUGGUUUGGAUUCAAUCAUUGGUUCUAAAAGAACCCCUUCCAUUCAAAACACCUUUUGAAGCAGUUUCUAAAACUAUAUAUCGACAUAUAUUUUGUUUGUAUACUUUAUACAAACUUUGCUCCAACCUUGAGACCAUUGUAGUACAAUACUAACAAUUCAUUCAUAUGAUUAGUACUUCAUCCAUUAUGAAGUUCCAUUUGUUAAAAUGGCUUAUUUUCACUUUGGUUAACAACCUAAGUGAAUGCAAGCUUCCAGAGUCCCACUCUGAUGUUUCUUUCUUUAAAGGAAAUAAUACUCUUUCAGUUGCUUUGGUUCUGAUCCUGGGAUAUAGUAAUAUCUUAAAGUGACAACCCCUGUGGUUCUUCACCUUUGGAUAUCUACUUCACAAGUCAAUACAUGUGUCCCUUUUGUGAUUUUAUGACACAUUCAUUAUAAGGGUUAUGAAAGUGAUUUCCUAUCACAUAGGAAAAUGCUUUCUUAAAUCUACAACAUUUGAGAUUUAAUUCCCAUAUAACAUUAUUGAGAUAGCCUUGCUAUAUCAAUAAGUCCAAUUUCAAGGCUAUACUUCAAAAUUGACCGUGUCAUGUUUUGUCAUUUUUCGAGUAACCUCUAUGUUUUAUCAAGUCUAUCGAAUAGACUUUAUUCACAUCUUGUUGCUCAAAUUAUGACAUCACUCCCACUGGCCUUGUUGUAACUUAGCAUUCAUUCAAAAAUAACAAUUAUAUUUUCUUGAUUUGAAUGCAUAUUGCUCCCACUAACUUAAAUUAAUCACACACAAAAGAAUUCCUUCUCAAGUAAUUCCUUUUGAAAUGUGUGACUUGUUCCAUUAAGUCUAUUCAUUUAAAUUAUAUGGUGUCAUACACCAUACUUCAAGUUUUAGUCAUACUAAGACCUUUAAUGUAGUAAUAUAAGAAUUAUCCAAGUCUUUAGUGGAAGCAUGGCUCCUACUAAGGAUAUAGAAACUCAACCAUUCCUUCUAGGUGGUUGAUAUAAUUCUUUAUUAAAACUACAUAGAGCGUUAUAGUUACAUGAGAUGUUGAAUUUGGAUUGUCUUGUUGUUAAACCAUAUGUUGUGACUCAUUUUGAAACUAUUUCCCUUUUGUUUCAUCAACUUGUCCAUAUGCUUUAGUUAUUUAGCUUGUUCUCAUAAAAGAGAAUGAUGGACAACUCCCCAACAAUAUAACUAUUUUAUGCUUAGGUUGACGAAACCAACAUUCAAAGACUAUUCUUUAGAAUGUCACACAACAUAGAAUUUUAACGUUUGAAGAGCUUGAGUCUUUUAACAAUUAAAAUUACAAACAUUUAAUAAUAGUCAAUUACUAUUAUUCUUUAGACAACUAUAAACCAAUCACAUUCAAGUUUAUAUCCAUUUUCACACCUCCCACUAUU
rnacentral:lncRNA from 1 species